GACGAACGCUGGCGGCGUGCCUAAUACAUGCAAGUUGAGCGCUGAAGGUUGGGACUUGUUCCAACUGGAUGAGCAGCGAACGGGUGAGUAAUGCGUGGGGAAUCUGCCUUUGAGCGGGGGACAACAUUUGGAAACGAAUGCUAAUACCGCAUAAAAACUUUAAACACAAGGUUUAAGAUUGAAAGAUGCAAUUGCAUCACUCAAAGAUGAUCCCGAGGUGUAUUAGGUAGUUGGUGAGGUAAAGGCCCACCAAGGCGAAGAUACAUAGCCGACCUGAAAGGGUGGACCGCCACAAUGGGACUGGGACACGGCCCCAAAUCCUUACGGGGGCAGCAGUAGGGGAACUUCGGACAUGGGCGAAAGUCUGACCGCAGCACGGCGCGGGGGUGGAGGAGGUUUUCGGAUCGUAAAACUCUGUUGGUAGAGGAGGAAGUUGGUGAGAGUGAAAAGCUCAUCUAGUGACGGUAACUACCCAGAAAGCAACGGCUAACUACGUG
rnacentral:rRNA from 1 species